UUGCUUGGUGGAUCAGUGGCGAACGGGUGAGUAACACGUGAGCAACCUGCCCUGGACUCUGGGAUAAGCGCUGGAAACGGCGUCUAAUACUGGAUAUGAGACGUGAUCGCAUGGUCGUGUUUGGAAAGAUUUUUCGGUCUGGGAUGGGCUCGCGGCCUAUCAGCUUGUUGGUGAGGUAAUGGCUCACCAAGGCGUCGACGGGUAGCCGGCCUGAGAGGGUGACCGGCCACACUGGGACUGAGACACGGCCCAGACUCCUACGGGAGGCUUAGUGGGGAAUAUUGCACAAUGGGCGGAAGCCUGAUGCAGCAACGCCGCGUGAGGGAUGACGGCCUUCGGGUUGUAAACCUCUUUUAGCAGGGAAGAAGCGAAAGUGACGGUACCUGCAGAAAAAGCGCCGGCUAACUACGUGCCAGCAGCCGCGGUAAUACGUAGGGCGCAAGCGUUAUCCGGAAUUAUUGGGCGUAAAGAGCUCGUAGGCGGUUUGUCGCGUCUGCUGUGAAAUCCCGAGGCUCAACCUCGGGUCUGCAGUGGGUACGGGCAGACUAGAGUGCGGUAGGGGAGAUUGGAAUUCCUGGUGUAGCGGUGGAAUGCGCAGAUAUCAGGAGGAAACACCGAUGGCGAAGGCAGAUCUCUGGGCCGUA
rnacentral:rRNA from 1 species